ACCACUAAAUGGUUUGUUUAAUGUUGUUUGGGGUUAAAAUAGGUUAGAAUACAUUAAAUUUGAUUGAUUACAAGUUCUAGAAAUGCAUGAAGAGUGUUUCGAAGAGUGUAGAAAGACUUGCUGAAAUUUGGGCCAAAAUGGGCUAAGAACCCACAACCAUUGCUUUCAAGCAUUAAAUGGCUUGUCUACUGUUUUUUGGAAUUAUAAUAUGUUGGAAUACAGUAAGUUUGAUUGAUUGCAAGUGCUAGAGCAUCAUGAAGAGUGUUUAGAAGUUUGGAGAAAGACUUGUUGAAAUUUGG
rnacentral:lncRNA from 1 species